CUUGACCGACCCGACCAGCAGCGGCUCGUGCCCGUCCCGACCCUGCCCGUAGGUGGCGAGCAGGGCCUGCGCCUC
rfam:Micromonospora coxensis strain DSM 45161 genome assembly, chromosome: I